rnacentral:rRNA from 1 species
UACAGAGGUCCCAAGCGUUGUUCGGAUUCAUUGGGCGUAAAGGGUGCGUAGGUGGCGCUGUAAGUCGGGUGUGAAAUUUCGGAGCUUAACUCCGAAACUGCAUUCGAUACUGCGGUGCUCGAGGACUGGAGAGGAGACUGGAAUUCAUGGUGUAGCAGUGAAAUGCGUAGAUAUCAUGAGGAACACCAGAGGCGAAAGCGAACCACUGGACAGAACCUGACUCUGAGGCACGAAAGCUAGGGGAGCAAACGGG